rnacentral:tRNA from 1 species
CCCCGCUUAGCUCAAUCGCAGAGCGCGUGGCUGUAGACCACGAGGUUGCUGGUUCAAAUCCGGCAGCGGGGA